UAGGGAAUCUUCGGCAAUGGACGAAAGUCUGACCGAGCAACGCCGCGUGAGUGAAGAAGGUUUUCGGAUCGUAAAACUCUGUUGUUAGAGAAGAACAAGGACGUUAGUAACUGAACGUCCCCUGACGGUAUCUAACCAGAAAGCCACGGCUCACUACGUGCCAGCAGCCGCGGUAAUACGUAGGUGGCAAGCGUUGUCCGGAUUUAUUGGGCGUAAAGCGAGCGCAGGCGGUUUCUUAAGUCUGAUGUGAAAGCCCCCGGCUCAACCGGGGAGGGUCAUUGGAAACUGGGAGACUUGAGUGCAGAAGAGGAGAGUGGAAUUCCAUGUGUAGCGGUGAAAUGCGUAGAUAUAUGGAGGAACACCGGUGGCGAAGGCGGCUCUCUGGUCUGUAACUGACGCUGAGGCACGAAAGCGUGGGGAGCAAACAGG
rnacentral:rRNA from 1 species